rnacentral:rRNA from 1 species
UAGGGAAUCUUCCGCAAUGGACGAAAGUCUGACGGAGCAACGCCGCGUGAGUGAAGAAGGAUUUCGGUUCGUAAAACUCUGUUGUUAGGGAAGAAAAAAUGUAUAGUAACUAUAUACAAAAGAGACCGUACCUAACCAGAAAGCCACGGCUAACUACGUGCCAGCAGCCGCGGUAAUACGUAGGUGGCAAGCGUUGUCCGGAAUUAUUGGGCGUAAAGCGCGCGCAGGUGGUUUAGAAAGUCUGAUGUGAAAGCCCACGGCUCAACCGUGGAGGGUCAUUGGAAACUAAUAAACUUGAGUGCAGGAGAGAAAAGUGGAAUUCCUAGUGUAGCGGUGAAAUGCGUAGAGAUUAGGAGGAACACCGGUGGCGAAAGCGGCUUUUUGGCCUGCAACUGACACUGAGGCGCGAAAGCGUGGGGAGCAAACAGG